AUCCCUUUAAUAUGUUACCUUCAGUUUUGUUUAUGUAUUACAACAUACUGGGAAUCAUCUCAAAAUCCCUUCUUCUUUGAAAGUCUUUCAGGAGGUACAAUAGCAGAGGUGGUGUGUCCUCCGGAUUUGUAGCUGCUGACCAUGAGUCUUCUUAAAAGCUCUACUUCAGGAUGGAAGAAGAGGGAGGACAGCAACAAACACAAAUAGUGGAGGACCCUUGCUCUGUGGUCAUAUGUUCAGGACGUCUGAAGGAGAAAAAUGAGUAGUAACACAAGCUGGAUUCACUUCUGUGGAAGAAAGUGGUUCCAUGUUUCCAUGUUUAAGUCUGCUCUACUGCUCGGUACAU